UGAUGAUGAUGAAGAUGAAGAUGAAGAUGAUGAUGAUGAUGAUGGUGAUGAUGAUUCCCUUGCAUCAUCCAAUUUCGUCGUCGUUAUGUUAU
rnacentral:miRNA from 1 species